UCACACCUAGUUUUAUCUGUUCCAUGACCUACAUGGUACUAGUGCUGCUCUGAUUCCUGGUCCUGUGUGAAGGGGAGGCAAAGAUGGACCCAAAGAAGUGAAGGAGGACAGAAUGGCAGGUGACACUCAACAGCUCACAAGCUUCCUGAUCCCCAGAGUCCUGCCCGUGUGGCCCGGACUAAUGGGCUGCCAUGCCCGUGCCUGGUGCCGAGUGGGGUGAUGAGUGGGAAUUCUGAUCUGUUUAUGCUCCAGGGAUAGGAGAGAACGGGAACUUGGAGAUUCAUGACGUAAGGAGCCCGUGAGAAGGCACCACUGUGAACCAGGAAGGGGUCUCUCACCAGGAGGCCAUGCUGGCACCUUGACUUGGACUUUUCAGUCUCUGGAACUGUGGGAAAUAAAUUUCUGUCUACAGGCUGCUCUGUCUCUGGUGUUUUGUUAUAGCAGCUCAAAUGGACAAAAAGCUUUCUCAGUUAAAAUAUAUUUAAACAUUUAUAUAUACACAUGUAUUUAUUUAUAUAUAUCAUAAGUUAUCCACAUGUGCUAGUAAUACAAUUUGA